rfam:Callithrix jacchus chromosome 21, whole genome shotgun sequence
CUUUAAGUAUAAGUAUAUCCCCUGCAAUAUUUGGGAUAUACUUAUACUAAAA